rnacentral:rRNA from 1 species
UACAGAGGGGGCAAGCGUUGUUCGGAAUUACUGGGCGUAAAGGGCGCGUAGGCGGCCUGCUAAGUCGAACGUGAAAUCCCCGGGCUCAACCCGGGAACUGCGUCCGAUACUGGCAGGCUUGAAUCCGGGAGAGGGAUGUGGAAUUCCAGGUGUAGCGGUGAAAUGCGUAGAUAUCUGGAGGAACACCGGUGGCGAAGGCGGCAUCCUGGACCGGUAUUGACGCUGAUGCGCGAAAGCCAGGGGAGCAAACAGG